CUACCGAUUGAAUGGCUCAGUGAGGCUUUCGGACUGGCCCAGAGAGGUGGGCAACUACCACUCAGGGCCGGAAAGUUAUCCAAACUCGGUCAUUUAGAGGAAGUAAAAGUCGUAACAAGGUCUCCGUUGGUGAACCAGCGGAGGGAUCAUUA
rnacentral:rRNA from 1 species